UACAGAGGUGGCAAGCGUUGUUCGGAAUUACUGGGCGUAAAGGGCGCGUAGGCGGCCUUCUAAGUCAGACGUGAAAUCCCCCGGCUUAACCUGGGAACUGCGUCUGAUACUGGGAGGCUUGAGUAUGGGAGAGGGAUGUAGAAUUCCAGGUGUAGCGGUGAAAUGCGUAGAUAUCUGGAGGAAUACCGGUGGCGAAGGCGGCAUCCUGGACCAUUUCUGACGCUGAGGCGCGAAAGCUAGGGGAGCAAACGGG
rnacentral:rRNA from 1 species